GUUCUCCAGCCGAGGCUCGGGACUGCUGCAGGGUGGAAAAUGAAAGUUCUGAGAGCACCUUCCGCCCCUCCGCUUCUGCACAGCCGGGGCUGCGGUGCGAGGAGCUUGGCCGCGGGGCCCGAACGAGGCGAAGGGGCCGGGGCCCUUGGGGAACCCCCUUCUCUCUUCCACUCUCCCUUAGGUAAAACCCGUGUUCCUCUCACGCUCGACCCAGCGCCUUUCCAGCUGCGGUCGAUUUGCUUCUCCGCGUGUAAGUACAGCCACCCUCAAGGUCAUUGAAAAAGUUUGCUUUAAAUGAGCGUCUGCGGAACUCGUCCUGAGGCUCUCACUGUUACAGAUUAGAGAUGGGGGCGCUUUCUAGUGGAGGAUUUUGCUUUUGCUCUUCUACUUUUGCAAGAAGCUUUUUGUCCUGAAAAGUGGACAGUCAUCUCCAUUUAUAGCUUGGAAUGAAAAUUUGACUAUGGAAGUUGCAGUCGCUACUUGAGAAAUAUUUCCUCCUUCUUUUUUUUUUUUUUUUUUUAUUUUUGACACGGAGUUUUGCUGUUGUUGCCCAAGCUGGAGAGCAGUGCGCGAUCUCGGCUCACUGCAACCUCCGCCUUCCGGUUUCAAGCGAUUCUCCUGCCUCAGCCUCCCGAGUAGGCGGGAUUACAGGUAUGUGCCACCAUGCCCGGCUAAUUUUUGUAUUUUUAGUAGACACGGGGUUUCACCAUGUUGGCCAGGCUGGUCUCGAACUCCUGACCUCGUGAUCCACCCGCUUCGGCCUCCCAGGUCCUCCUUCCGUUUUAAAGGAUAAACCUUGAAAUGCUUUUAAAAUAUGCAGCGUGUAGAAUUUGGUUAGUUGGUUGGUUGGGGUUUUUUAGAGAAAAUGAGAGGUAGAAUGGACUCUAAGUUAAACCCUGGGGGACAGUGUCACUCUGGCCGCUGGCCUGGCUGGGAAAGGCGAUGAGACCCUGAGCAGGUUAAAACCCGUGUCCUGAAGGUGUCCUGUAAAGGGAAAUAGGCCCGUUGCCUCCUUCGUAGGUGCCCUGAGACUCCGACAAGGCAGGAAUGCCAAGGUAUUUCGUACCUGCUCAGCCCUGGCAUGUCAGGUUGCUGAGACCGAGCAGUGUGGGGCUGAGGUGGAAGCGGACCUUCUGGGGCGUGGAAAGCGCACCAGGAGACCCCGGCUCCUUCUCAGCCAGCACUGCCUCAUCCUCAGAACAAAUUUAAGUCAAUUCAGCAUUUAUUCAAUGCCUGUUGCAUGCAAGUGACAACCUAAAUAACAGAGAGGAUCUCUAAAAGAAACAGAUAUUUAUUUUGCAAUAGAGCUUUGCAGUAGAAAUAUGCAUGCCAUGGUAAACUUGUGCAUAUUCAGAGAGGCAAGGAAAGCAAAGGCUUUAAAAAAAAUGAGGCGGAUUGCACAAUUGUUUGAAAAUAAUUAUCUGUGGCUACAAAGAUCCAUAACGAAGGCGAUGCCAGUUCAAAGUAGGACAGCCAGUGGCUGGGCCAUGUCCUUGCAGGACUAGUUUUUUGUGGGAGAUUGCAGUGGCCUUUGUGCAAGGUUGCGGUUUUUCCAGAGAGUCCUUUUUGUUAUCAGGCAUGCACGCGCAAGAACCCUCUCUUCAUGGCCUUCCCCGGCUCUGUUUGUCAGGGUUUUCUUAACAUUAGCGGCUCCAUUUCGAUUCUGACAAUUUUCACACAAGCUACAGUGCCUGGCCUGGGACGACACAAACAUGAGUCAGGUUUGGUGCCUGUUGGCCAGGCGCAGUGGCACACACCUGUAAUCCCACCACUCUGAGAGGCCGAGGCAGAUGGAUCCUUUGAGCCCAGGAGUUCAAGAUUAGCCUGGCAACAUAGGGAGACCCCCGUCUCUAUGAAAAUUACAGAAAAAAUUUGCCAUGCAUGGUGGUGUGCACCUACCCCAGUGACUGGCACCUGGAAUUCACCGAGCAAGUUGGUUGAAAAAGUUAAAGGAAUUUUCCAGCACUUUGAAAACUAAACCAAGAGAAUGUCUCCAUAUCAAAUUUCAGCCACUCCUUAUAAAAAUGUCUUAAAGGCUGUAAAUCACCGUAUUCACCUGCAGGAAGCAGUGUUGAGGAAGGAGGUAGUAUAGGGUUAAGGGUCUAUUUAAACCAGCUGCUUAGGGCCAAGUUAGAUGUUUAUUCUGUCUAGUUUAAACCACUGGCUUAACAGGGUACUUAAUUUUCCAGUUUCAUCAAAGAAAUGUGCUGUGAGGCCAAGAAAAUUAUGUAGUUCAUUUUUUUAAAAGAGAUGCAAACUGAGAAAUUCUGUGACCAUUAACAGUCUCAUUAAAGAAAUAAGAAAAUAUGAUUGUUUCUCUUAGAUUUUGCAAAAUGGCUAAGGAGCAUUUUUAGACACUUUGUUGUAGAACAACUCUCUUUUAAGCUACUUUCCUCCUUUCUUAAAAACAAAAUAUAGGCCGGGUGUGGUGGCUCACACUUGCAAUCCCAGCACUUUGGGAGGCUGAGGCAGAUGGAUCACCUGAGGUCAGGAGUUCGAGACCAGCCUGGCCAACAUGGUGAAACCCCAUCUCUACUAAAAGUACAAAAAUUAGCUGGGCGUGAUGGUAGGCACCUGUAAUCCCAGCUACUUGGGAGGCUGAGGCACGAGAAUCGCUUGAAUCCAGGAGGCAGAGGUUACAGUGAGCCGAGGUCAUGCCACUGCACUCCAGCCUGGUGGUCAGAGCGAGACUUUGGCUCAAAAAAAAAAAAAAUGUAUUAUCCAUUUAUUAUGUACUCAUUCAGCAGAUAGGAGCAAAAGCGCCCAUUCUACUCUUAAGUCCCAACCCAGAAAUAGAGCAGUGAGGGAAACUGACAGCAUCCUGGGCCUCAGCACCUGCUGGGAGAAAGAGCCAACAAAAUACACAGCAACACACAGGAUAUAGCACCCUUGGUGUUGAUUAAACGCUAGAUGAAGAAAAGGGAGGAGGAGACGGGAGGAAUGCAGGCUGAGGCGGUGGCAGGGGGCUCCAUUUUAAACAGGAUGUCGACAAAGAUAGAAUUUCAGCGAGUGCUAGAAUGAGGUAAGGACUUACAUCAACAAUCUGCCCGCACCAUUUCUUCUUAGAUUUCAGAAACUGUUUUCGUUUGAUUCAAUACUGGUGCCUUCCUUCGGUUCAUUUUCUGUUUAUCAUAAAAAUUAUCCUAGGUCUUCAAAACUAAUUUAAUGGAAUUGUAUAGAAAUGGAAAUAAAAGUGACUACAAGCUUCAAAAAGGUAGAUUUUGGGUAUAAAGACAAUCUUAUAUAUUUUUUUCUUUUUCAAGACAAAGUCUCACGUUGUCAUCCAGGUUAGAGUGUAGUGGCACGAUCUAGGCUCACUGCAACUUCUGCCUCCCCGAUUCAAGCGAUUCUUGUGUGUCAGCCUCCUGAGUAGCUGGGACCACGAGCGUGCACCACCACGCCUGGCUAAUUUUUGUAUUUUUAGUAGAGAUGGGGUUUUGCCAUGUUGGCCAAGCUGGUCUCAAACUCCUGGCCCCAAGUGAUACACCUGUCUUGGCCUCCCAAAGUGCUGGGAUUACAGGCGUGAGCCACCAUGCCUGGCCAAAGUGGUGAAUUUUAUAUUAGUGUGGUUUUGCAGUGGCUAGGUCUGUGCAAACCUAUCCCCAAAGGCCAAGGAAACUGACAGGCUGAAUAAAGAGGCUGACAUACCCAGUUUCCUAGAAAGAAACAUUUAGGGCCAGGCGGGAAGACUCACGCCUGUAUCCCAGCACUUUGGGAGGCUGAGGUGGGUGGAUCACCUGAAGUCAGGAGUUCGAGACCAGCCUGGCCAACAUGGUGAAACCCCAUCUCUACUAAAAAUACAAAAAUUAGCUGGGCCUGGUGGUGCACACCUGUAAUCCCAGCUACUCAGGAGGCUGAGGCAGGAGAAUCGCUUGAACCUGGGAGGUGGAGGUUGCAGUGAGCCCAGAUUGCACCAUUGCACUUCAGCCUGGGCAACAAGAGUGAAACUCCAUCUCAAAAAAAAAACAAACAAGAAAGAAAAGAAAAGAAACAUUUAAUAAAGAUUGGCGAACAGAAGCCGUGUCUGUGUCUUGGGCACCCUUACCUGCCAGACGCAGGCCUUCUGUACUACAGCAAAAGGGUGACUCAGAGGGGAUGUGCAAGGGAAUUGAAGGACGAUAACAUCAAGGUUGUUUCAACCUAAGGACAGGAUUUACAAUGAGGACCUGCUCUUACUCAAGGAACAAUAAACUGGAAAUCCUAGAGGCCUUCCCAGAACUGGGGUUAGUCAGAAGUGAACCCGGCAGAUCGCGUCCCAGGUGGAGCUGCUUUAGCCUCCGUAUGUAUAUUUCACCCCCAAGAAAGGUUAAACCGAACUGACAACAGAGACAUUCCUCUCUGUACCUCUAUUCAAUAAUGAGGCACAGCAAACUGUAGAACGCAUGACAACCACAGAUAAGGAAAGCACUCGCACGGUCCUGACGCCAUUGCCCACCCUGACAUUCGUUCAUGGAGGUCGCCUGCACAUUCCAUCUUAUUCAAAGGGGUGGUGGAAUGGGGUGGGGGGAGAGCAUCUGCUAUUAUCUCCGGUCGAGUGCUAGAGGCUUGAGCCCACAUCUGGGGUCUGAGAGAGGAUCCUGCACUAGGAACUGGGACUUGAUAAUGGCCUCGAGGACAGCUUGGAGCGUAGAAAAUAUUUUUGGGUUCACUGACAUUUUAACUAUAAUUUUAUAUAAGAACUUAAAUCAUCAAAAUGGGGGAUCCAGGACUCUGUCCUCUUUAUGGGGCUGCUGGGCAAACUGACUCGCAGAGAGAUGAUGAGCCAUAAACAUCCACUCACAAGCGGGAGAAAGUCAAUGGAGACCGUGUGGAAACCACUUCCCCUGCUUAAAAAUCACCAAAGCCGUAAUGAUGGACAGUGAGACAGCAGUGACCCUCAGUAUUUCAAUGGGACGUGAAUAAUGUUUAAUUGUAUGUUCAUAUAUUGCUUAACAGUUUUAGAAAAUCUGUUCUUCUGCAGCACUAGCCUGCUCUGCCCAUCCCAAAAGUGAGUGGUGCCUGAAGGAAUUCUGAGCCCCUCUGUGAGAGGAAGCGCGUCUGUCUUUUCUUUACGACCCCGGCACUGAGCACAGGGCUUGGAAUACUAUAAGAAAUAAACACAUCUUUUAAAAAUAGUGAAAAACGGAGAGAACAUAAUCAAAUGCCCAUGUUAUUAUUCACGGCACGAGUGUCUUAGAGAAUACAGGUGUUUAGGGCUGAAGUGAGUCCCCCUGAGAUUCAUGCUGAAUCUCUAACCCUCAGCACCACACACUGAGCCUGAGCUUGAAGAGGGGGCCUUGAAAGGGUGAUUAAGUUAAAAUUAGGUCACUGGAGAGAGUCCUAAUCUAAUGUGACUGGUGUCUUUAUAAGAAGUAAUUAGGACACAGACACAUGGACCAAGGGGCAGCCAUGUGAGGCCUCACAUGGGUGGGAAGGUGAACCCAGCCCGGCCGACACCUUGAUCUUGGACUUCCAGCCUCCAGAACGGUGAGAAAACAAACAUCUGUUGUUGAAGCUGAUAUAAGAGUUAAGAAGAAAUCACUUAGGCAGAUAGUAAGGGUGUGAGUGUCCUCAAUAAGGCUUUUAUUUUUCAUGAAAAGCAGCCCCAGAUCAUUUUCUAACAAAGAGCAUCCUGUAAAGUGGAGCUGCAGACAUGGACAAGCAGGCUGGGAGCUUGCACGGGUGAAUGCCAGCGGGAACUAGGGUCUAGAAACGUUCAAGAUGGCGGCUGCAUCUUCCCUUCUCUGCCAGCCACGUGUAAUGUAAGGAGCAGAAAAAAUGGCACCGAUGGCCCAUCAACUCAAAAGCCCAUUUGCAUAAUAAGAUUAGGGUGGGGUGACCAGCCUUCCUGGUAUGCUAUGUAAACGCCAUACGUGAUCAAACCAAUUUGUGAGUCCUAUGUAAAUCAGACACUGCCUCCUCAAACUGGACUAUAAAACCGGGCGCAUUCACCACCAGCCAGUCUUUUCCGAUUGGAGACCCCUUUCUCUAUGGAGAGAGCUGUUUCUCUUUCUCUUCUCUUCUGCCUAUUAAACCUCCCCUCCUAAACUCCUCGUGUGCGUCCGUGUCCUAAACUUUCCUGGUGCGCGACAACGAACCCCAGGGUAUAUACCCCGACAACGUAGCUGCUUCAAAGCCACCAGGUCUGGAUGCUUUGUUGUGGCAGCACAGGAGGACUAGGGGGAAAAGAGGCCUCUGUUCUUGUUCCCAAGGAACAAGAAUGGAUGGAAUGGCCAUCCGUUUGUGGGGAAUCAAACAUAAAGACCCACAUGCAUCAUGAGACAGAUGUGUGGACAAGCCUCGAGACAUAAUAGGCAUUGCGUGUGGUCCACACUGCCAAGGGCUGGAGUCAGGGAAAAGGGAGAGGGGGUGGACAACGUUCUCAGCACCCAGUUAUGCUCAAUAAAUAUCUGUAGCCUGAAUGAGUCUGAAAACUUGAGCUGGAGUCAGUGAGGAAUACAAAAUCAAGAGAUGUAAAGAGGAAGAAGUGUUCGAGCACCUUGGCUCACGCCUGUAAUCCCAGUACUUGGGAAGGCCGAGGCUGGUGGAUCAUCUGAUGUCAGGAGAUCAAGACCAGCCUGGCCAACAUGGUGAAACCCUCUCUCUACUAAAAGUACAAAAAUUAGCUGGGCAUGGUUGUGGGUGCCUGUAGUCCCAGCUACUCAGGAGGCUGAGACAGGAGAAUCGCUUGAACCAGGGAGGCGGAGACUGAGUAAGCUGAGAUCGCGCUACUGCAUUCCAGCCUGGGUGAGGCAGAGUUAGACUCCGUCUCAAAAAAAAAAGUAAGAAGUGAAAUAUUUCAAGGCGGGCACAUCCACAAAACACCAGAAAAGGCAAUGCUUUCACAGAGAAGACAAACCAUCUUCUUUUCUCUCCUCGGUCAGAGACCAUCUGAUGCUCUAGACAGUGGCUGCAGUACUGGCAAGACAGGCAAGUCAAGGAGGUAACAUGGACGAAUUUGCACAACUUAGAAAAGACCUGUAGGUAUAAUGUUAAAAACAUUCAGCCCGGCGUGGCGGCCUGAGCUACUCUGGAGGCUGAGGUGAAAGGAUUGCUUGAGCCCAGGAGUUCAGCUGCAGUGAGUUAUGAUCAUGCCAAUGAAUAGCCACUGCACUCCAGCCUGGGCAACAUAGUGAGACUGCAGCUCUAAAUAGUUUUUUUUAAACUUUUUUUUUUUUUUUUUUGGAGACAAGGUCUGGCUCUAUUGCCCAGGCUGGAGUGCAGAGGCAUGAUCUCUGCUCACUGAAACCUCUGCCUCCCAGGCUGAAACCAUCCCCCACCUCAGCCUCACAAGUAGUGUGGACUACAGGUGUACACCACACCUGGCUAAUUUUUGUUUUUUGUUUUUUGGUUUUUGUUUUGUAGAGACGGGAUUUCUUCAUGUUGCCCAGGCUGGUCUUGAACUCCUGGGCUCGAGAGAUCUUCCUGCCUCCGUCUCCCAAAGUGCUGGGAUUACAGGUUUGCACCACUGUGUCCGGCCAGCAAGUACUUUGGAAUAGUUCCUUAUUCCGUCUGCAAAGGACGGUUCCUAGGGCUUAGCAAGGGGAAUUUGAACUGUUAAAGGAAAAACCUAAGCCUAAAGUAUUAAACUAUGGGGAAGGGCCAGGUGCAGUGGCUCACACCUGUAAUCCUAGAACUUUGGGAGGCCGAGGCGGGCGGAUUACCAAGGUGUGCCUAUAAUCCCAGCUACUCUGCAGGCUGCGGCAGGAGAAUCGCUUGGAUCCGGGAGGCAGAGGUUGCAGUUAGCAGGCCGUUAGGAAAGGUAUUUGAGUCCUGUGACUUUCCACUAUCCAGCAAAUCACAUCUGGUAGCUGUUAUUCUCCUUAUUAAACACAGAUAUCCAUGUAGAUAAGCAUAAUCUUCCCUUCAUGCUUUUCCUUUCCUUCAUUCAUUUCCUUCAUUCAGAGCCGAGAUCGUGCCACUGCACUCCAGGCUGGGUGGCAGAGCAAGACUCCGACUAAAAAAAAAAUGAAAAUAAUAAUAAACUAUGGGGAAGAAUAAAGAAGGAAUUGCCUACAUUUAGAGGGAGGUAGAAGAACAAAAAGAGGAAAAUAUAUAACUAUUUUAAAACCUUUUUAACAUAAGUCUUUCAAAUCCUAGAAACUUGGGACUUGUGUGAGGGGAGGACCCUUCUCUCACUCUGUUAUACUUUCUGAAUGUUUUCAAAAGCACUGUAGACACGGUGAUGCUUAGAACUGGGGGAGGCCAGGCCUCCUGGAAGAAGUUUGCUGAGGGCCUGUGGAUAGAGAAGCAGAAACAGGAACACAGCCUGGGGCAAACAUCGUGCGGAUGAUGGGCAUCUCAAACACUGGAAAUAAAUGAGGCUGCGGGAGCAAAAUUGCUGGUUCCCCUGCUGAGCACACCUGCCCUGCUUGGAACAAGAGCAAAGAUGUCUGGUGGGGGAGCCGAUGUGAGAUGGAUGGAUAGACAGGGCCCCCAGCCUGGGGGAUGGGACCAGGGACCAUUUGUGAGAUAAACCCAGGUAUUAGCCCAGGGCAGAGGCUCCCAGCUGACCUUAAAACAGAGGCAGCCCAGCUCCACCCAGCACUUCUUCAGCAGGCCUGGGCUGGGGGUCAGAGAACUCGCAUUUCUAAGAUGUUCUCAGACUGAGGGACCCAGUGGAAAAGCGUCCUGAUUACUGGGUUAUAAACACCUGAAGAGUUCUGAAAGAAAUGGGCCACACCCUCAGGAUCCAAAGUCUUAAAGGAAAGCUGAAGAGGUGUCCUGUGAGUUCAGGGGCACCCCGGUGAAGCCUGGGGCUUAGAAAGAAAAGAAGUGUUUAUACCAGGAGAGCAGAGAGCAAGGAGCAGGGAGGGGCCAGGGCAGCCCCCAAACCGGAGCCCGAGGCCGGACCCUGCCUCUGACGAGGAGCAUGCCCGGCCACCAUGCUGACCCCUGCAUCCUUCUUUCUUUGUCCCUUGAAGCCCCUCAAAGUCCUUCCUGAGACACAUCCCCUCCCAAGGCACACCCUGGAGGGUCUCAAGACUUGAAAAUCAGUCAAGAAGCAGGCAAGGAGUGAGCUGAUCACUGUAGUUAAAGAGACGGCACCAAAGACAUUGUACAAAAGAGGGCAGGAAGAUGUCCAUGUGUCUGCACCAGACCUUCUGCGCCAGUGAGGGAUGCUGCAGGCAAAGGCAGGGCAGAUGGCAAGAGGGUCCCUACCCAGCCGCAGCACCCGGCAAUGCCCACCAGAGCCGACCCCCUGCCCGUGUUCUGUGAGUCCACGUCGUCUGCAUCAGGGUGCUGAUGGCAAAGCCUCCGGGUGUCCCUCCGUUGCAGGGUCUACUCCUGCAGUGUGGACAGCAGAGACGGAGGAAGUUCUCCCAAGUGCGGGGAGGUAGGCUCUGUGGGAAGCCCUUCACUCAAAGGCACACUCAUGGUUUUGUUACCAGAGCAGCUGAAGAAUUCAAAGUAGCUUCUGAGAACUCUAACUGUCUGGACCAUGCUAUAGUAAGGGCUAAGCUAACUUAAGAGCCAUCCAAAAAAAAAAAAAAAAGAAGAAGUGAAAAGGUGAUUGAUGUCAGAUGUAAACCCAAGAGGGUAACACAGCAAUGCUGAGACAUCCGAAACAACUUCCUAUUAGCUGUCCAGGACCUUAACCCAGGUCUUAAGGGAUCCUGUCUUUUUUAGUCUAAGGCAGUUGAAUACUAAAUUAUUAAAACAGGUCUUAUUUUAUGACCCUAAUCAUCGACAAGAGGCGCCUUUUGUUGUUGUUGACACAGAGUCUGGCUCUGUAGCCCAGGCUGGAGUGCAGGGGCGCAUCUCGGCUCACUGCAACCUCCACCUCCCAGGUUCAAGUGAUUCUCCUGCCUCAGCCUCCAGAGUAGCUGGGGUUACAGGCACACGCCACCAUGCCCAGCUAAUUUUUGUAUUUUUAGUAGAGACGGGGCUCCAUCACAUUGGCCAGGCUGGUCUCGAACCCUGACCUUAAGUAAUCCAUCCACCUCGGUCUCCCAAAGUUCUGGGAUUACAGGUGUGAGCCACCGUGCCUGGCCGACGAGGCACUUUUCCCUCAAGUUAACAAAAGGAAAAGAGAAAAGAGAAACCUUCUGAAGACAAACAAUAGAUAAUUGGGUGAAAGAUGGAUGAAUUCUCCCCACGUCUGUAACUCCUAAGAAACAGAGGCCCUAUGUUCUGCAUGAGGACAUAUCCGUUGUUCACAAUCCCCACACUCAGCUGAAAACCACAAACCCACCCAGAGGGAUUGCCUUUCUUCUUCUCCAUUUGGGUACUUGCUCUCCAGCUGAAUUCCACUUUAAUUUCAUCAGUGAAGGUCAGUUCAAUUGGAUAGACUGCAAGCUCUUUUCAGAAUGUAAGGGAGGAUUACUCUGUGAGAGAUCUAAUCAUUUAUUUUUAAAAUACA
rnacentral:lncRNA from 10 species